AUGGGGGCAAAAAUUGACCGGUCUGUGAAUGAUGGUGGAGGUCCAAUUUUUUUUAAAAUUAAUGGUCAGGUUUGUCAUCGUAUAGGCUCACUACUUCCAAAUCAGGGUGAUUCCCCCAAAUAUGCAGAGUUAUACAUACAUGACAGAGAAAAUGAGGUUAACAACAGAAUUCAGGCCCUAAACCACCACAAUGAAACCAGCACUGGGUUAGACAAGGAGAUUGUUAAGGGUCUUAUGAAGAUGCUUGAUGCAAACAAUUCUUUGGUGAAGAAAUUCCGUAUGGCUAGCGACAUACUGAAAAAUAAUAAACAUGAGGUAAUUUCAAUAAGGCUUAUAGCUCCUGGUGAAAAUGAUGGCGCUCAAUUUAAUUUGCCUGCAACAGAUGAAUUGGCGGCUUUAGUUUAUGGUGAGUUCACGUUGGAAGCGCCGUGUAGAGACCUGAUUAUACGCAGUAAAGCAGAUUGGCUUCAUCGUAUUUCCUCUUUAGAUACUACUUACAUGUCUUUGCAAUACCCUCUGCUGUUCCCAUAUGGUGAACGUGGCUUUCAGCUCGGUGUUCGCUAUAUUGGUACUGAUGUUAAUGACACGAGUAAGAGAGUUAAAAUGACGAUGCAAGACUUCUAUUGCUUCUGUUCACAUUAUAAACCAGACCAGCAUAAUCCAUACCUAUGUUGUGGCCUGUUGUCGUCACAGGCUGCUGUUGAUUUCCGGGCUUGCAUUGAUGAAUGCCGGCUCAGUUUUAUUCUUAAAUGUAAUGACGAGAUGCGGGCUGAAAAUCUUCAGGGCAUUGUCGACGCGGUAGGCCAGGGUAUGGUUGGUGGCUCAGAGGUUGGGAAGAAGAAUAUUAUGCCUUCGGCUUACACUGGUGGUCGUCGAUACAUGUAUGAAAAUUUCCAAGAUGCUAUUGCUGUCUCGCGGGUUCAUGGGUCGCCGGAUGUCUUCACAACUUUCACGUGUAACCCAAAGUGGGAAGAAAUCCUUGAUUCUGUUGAGCCUGGCCAAACAGCGACAUAUAGGGCUGACAUUGCUGUUAGGGUGUACCACAUGAAACUUGCUCAGUAUCUUCAUCGGAUUAAGAAAGGAAAUGCCUUUGGUCCUGUUGUUGCUGGUACUGCCCCUUGCAGGCCUCUUUCCAUUUCCUUUUCCUUCUUCUAUGGCUUCCUUAUAUUUAUUGUCGCUUUUUCCUCCUGUUUUCAGUCCUGCACACUAUUGAGUUUCAGAAGAGGGGGUUGCCGCACGCGCACAUCCUUGUUUGGCAAAAGAAGGAGGACGAUAGGGUUGUAA
rnacentral:rRNA from 1 species